GCAGGGCGUUGAGUUCGAUAAUGGUGCUAUGUAUGUUGACGGCCAUAAGGCUGCUUCUGACGUUCGUGAUGAGUUUGUAUCUGUUACUGAGAAGUUAAUGGAUGAAUUGGCACAAUGCUACAAUGUGCUCCCCCAACUUGAUAUUAAUAACACUAUAGACCACCGCCCCGAAGGGGACGAAAAAUGGUUUUUAGAGAACGAGAAGACGGUUACGCAGUUUUGCCGCAAG
rnacentral:rRNA from 1 species